rnacentral:lncRNA from 1 species
AAACCAAGCGGACAAGGCUUCAAGGAGAGCUUCUGGGCGGCUCAUUCCCGCGGCGAGGCAUAUCCCUUGGCAUGGUGCCACUGCAGCCCAGCUCCCAGCCCCCCCGCCAUCUGUCAUCAGCGCUCUGCCUACUAGAUUACAAACUGCCCAAAGAAUGUCUCACAGUGGCAAGGAUUCGUUAUCUGAAAUGCGACUAUUAUGGUCCUGUGGCAUUUCCCUCUUUGCUCGGCACCUCUCCCUAUUGCCGCCAUAUGAAAAAGGAGGUGUUUGCUUCCCCUUCCACCAUGAUUGUAAGUUUCCUGAGGCCUCCCGAGCCAUGCUGAACUGUGAGUUAAUAAAACCUCUUUCCUUUAUAAAUUA